GCCCAGAUGGUGAAAUUGGUAGACACGCUAGCUUGAGGGGCUAGUGGCCACUUUACGGCCGUGGAGGUUCAAGUCCUCUUCUGGGCACCA
rnacentral:tRNA from 1 species